CCUACGGGAGGCAGCAGUGAGGAAUAUUGGUCAAUGGGCGCGAGCCUGAACCAGCCAAGUCGCGUGAAGGAUGACGGCCCUACGGGUUGUAAACUUCUUUUAUAGAGGAAUAAAGUGAGGCACGUGUGCCUUAUUGUCUGUACUUUAUGAAUAAGGAUCGGCUAGCUCCGGGCCAGCAGCCGCGGUACUACGGAGGAUCGGAGCGUUAUCCGGAUGUAUUGGGUUGAAAGGGAGCGUAGAUGGGUUGUUAAGUCAGUUGUGAAAGUUUGCGGCGCAACCGUAGAAUUGCAAUUGAUACUGGCAGACUUGAGUACAGUUGAGGUAGGCGGAAUUCGUGGUGUAGCGGUGAAAUGCUUAGAUAUCACGAAGAACUCCGAUUGCGAAGGCAGCUUACUAAACUGCCACUGACAUUGAUGCUCGAAAGUGUGGGUAUCAAACAGGAUUAGAUACCCUGGUAGUC
rnacentral:rRNA from 1 species